rnacentral:tRNA from 5 species
GGCGAUGUAGCUCAGCCGGUUAGAGCGAACGACUCAUAAUCGUUAGGUCGUGUGUUCGAGUCACACCAUCGCCA